AGAAGGCCUAACAUCAGGAGGUAUGUUAACAUGAGACAGUUUAGCCUUCUGAAGUGUGGGGAAGGGCUUCAUGGGCAAGGGAUCAGCAUGGGCAAAAGAUCUAAGGUGGGAAAGAAUUCAAUGUAUUUGAGCAACUAAUGAAAAGCCAGUGUGGAUGAAGAAAUUUAUGACUGGAGAAAAAUGUGACAUGAAAAGAAGUUGGAGAGGCGUCAGAAUCCAGAUCACUCAGGGUUUCUAUCCCAAAGGACCACAAACUGGGUGGCUGAAAACAACAGAAAUGUACUUGUUUCCAGUUCUGGAGGCUAGAAGUCUGAAAUCAAGGUGUCAGCAGAGCCAUGGUACCUCGAGGUCUCUGGAUAGAAUCUCUCUUUGCCCCUUCCUGGCUUCUCCUGGCAGCUGUCCAUCCCUGGGACUCCAGCUUGCCACUGUACCCCUCCAAUCUUUACCUCUGACCUCAUGCGGCAUUUCCCACUUUUUACAGAGGUUGGAGCUUCAAUAUAUCUUUUGGGAGCAUAUAAUUCAACCCAUCACAACACCAAAAAACCGGUAGAAGACUGAAAAAUGCCAGUGGAAGACUUUCUAAAGACUAGAUAUUAAUAGUGUAUCUAGAAUUACUCUGCAUCCAUUAUAUAUAAACCUUGUAUAUACUCUUAAAGUCUUUGAUACAACGAUACAAAAAGCAGAGCUGUCCUUCAUACAAUGGCGUCCCAAGUCUCUAGAGCACUGAGGUGAUAAUAGGAAUUUGCACGCUAAUUUCAAUUUUGCAAAAGUCUCUAAAGUCAUAUUUUUAUUGAGUUAGUACAAUGUAACUAAAAUGUUCUUUUUCCUUCAGAUUGAAUUUAUUAUAUGAUUUUGAUUAUACUGGUUCUCUCAUGCAGGUAGGUGUUCUCUUUGGCAAUCAUAUAUCUUUUUAAAUAAAUGAAAAUGAAUUCUGUAUAGUGUGCAAUUUUUUUUGACAUACAGAAUCUUAUAAAAUAUGGGAGUAGAAGGAGAUUGAAAUUUUAUUUUUUAUUUUUAUUUUUUUUGAGAUUGAGAUUUUAAAAAGUGAUUCUUGGUAGUUAAAAUGUUGAGAAAAGAGCACAGGACAGGGUUAAUGCCGAUCAUGCAACUCUCUUUUCAUGAACAUUGACAAAAAACAAGGCAGUCUUCCAAAUGCUUUGUUCUCUUUCUACUUAAACCCAUUACUUGACUUAAAUGCCUUUAACCUAUGACCUUCUAGAAUAUUCCAUUGUUUAAAAAAAACUGUAAUUGUCUGAUCAACUUCUUUAACAUUUCUGAAGCCCUGUAUCAUUUUAACGGUUUGUAUAGUGUGCCUUUGUUCUCAACCCUGUUAAGUAAACAGAGCCAAAAUACUACAGAGAAUAAUUUAUAUAUUCAAGAAAACCUCAGAAAGGGUAAAAUGCUUUCCUGACAGAGUACUUAAAAUAAGACAAAGCUGGGAGGGCAAAAUCACCAUUCCUGAAAGAUCUCAAUUAGAAAGUUCCUCAUAAGGAGAUGGCAACGUUCUACUGCAUUUGUUGAAGCAAUCUGCUGUCCUUCAUGGCGUGAUAAUCCCACAGGGUUUUCCCACACUCUCUGGAAUCCCUGAGAGCAUCAGUUAAAACUGCAUCCCUGACCUUUCUUGGGAAGUUUCUAUCACCUUCUCUAAAUUUCCAUUUAAUCUGAUCUUACUCAUCAUAUAUUUUUUCUUAGAGUAGACGAUGUCCUUAUAACCAUGCAUUUUUUACUCUUUAGGCAAGAUGUUCCCAGGUAGGGGCCCCAGGUGUGUUUUCACUUUCAUCCAGAGGCUCAACAACAAGCAGUUCCUCAUCUUUACAUUUUUCUAAGAACUUGUCUUAAGAGUUUAUUUCCUUUUAAAGGAGGUGACAUCACAUACUAUUCUCUCUUGGAGGGCAUGUGCAAAGAGAAAAGUCAAACCCCAAGUGACUUUUUUUAGAUGUACAUUUCCUUAUAAAGUGUCACAUCCAUGCAUACUGUUCCAAAUGGUACAGCUCAGUGAAAUUGGAUAUAGUGAACCCACUUGCGGGGCCACACCUAGGGGAAAAAACAUCAAAUUUUGCCGGCAUUCCAGAAGCCUCUCUAAGGCCACCAGCUAGUCACUCCCUACCCUACUCCACUCCAGGAAACAACCAUUAUUCUGACUUCUAUUACCAUAGGUUAUUUUGGCCUCUUUUCCAAAUUUACUCAAAUAGAAUGAGACACCAUAUACUCCUUCGUACCAGGUUCAGCAUUCUGUUUGUGGAGGCCAGCGAAGCAGUAGUAAUGUGUUCAAUUUUAUUGUUGACUUUUACUCUGUGGUAUGAAAAUGCAACAAUUUAUUUUCUGGUCUGUCUUGACUGGACCUUUGUGUUGUUUCUAAUAUUUGAUUAUUAAGAAUAGUGCUGCAAUAAAAAUUGUUGUGCAUGUGCUUCAGAAAACACGUGUACAUAUUUCUGGUCAAGUGUUUAUUAGCUCUUUGGAUGUCUCCUUUGGGAGGUAUCUUUUUUUUUAAUCUUUUGUGCAUUUCUUCUUGGGUUGUUUGUGCUUAUUGCUUUGUUGGAGUUCCUUAUAUAUUAUUUUACAGAUACACAUUUUAUGUUUCUAUCUUUUAUAUCUGUCAGAUACACUUCUGUCCAUUUGUAGCUUGACUUUUCCUUAAUGCUGUCUUUUAGAUCUCAAUUUUAAUGUAGUCUCAUUUGUCAAUUUUUCUCUUUAUGGUUUUGGUAUACCAUUUAAAAAAGAUUUGCCUACCCCAAGAUCAUGAAGAUAUCCUCCUAUGUUACCUUCUGAAAGCUUUAUUGCUCUCUUGCAUUUAGAUCUCUGGUGCCCUUGGAAUUGAUGUUUGCAUAUAUAUGAGAAAAGAGGUAAAGUUAAUUUUUUUCUGCACGGUGUCUGAUUUUCUAUAUGGAUAUCCAUAUGCCAUUUGUUCAAAAGACUAUCUUACAGUGUAGAGUAACUGGUCAUAAAUCAAACAACUAUGUAUGUAUGUGUCUCUUUGUGAACUCCGUUCUCGCCCAUUGGUUUAUUUGUCUUUCCAUGUACCAAGGCCAUGAUGAUUAA